GCUAUGGGCAACUCAGCAACUUUUCCUCUGGACAGGAUUUGAUAAAUCUCCCCCAUAGUCCCUACAGUCUGUGACAAGCACUCUAAGACACUGUAAUCUUGCUUGUAGGAUAGAUUGUUUUCAUAAUACGAGAAGCAGGGGAGAUGUGUGUUGUGUACUUCCUUCAGUUCAUUUACUGACCUCCUAGCAAAAUAUUAAAACUUGGCGCAAAGGCAACAGAUUUUGCACAAAUAUAGAACACCGAGAAUAUAGGGCUGCACGAUAUGAAAAUGUGCGAUUAUGGAGAUUUGUUUUAAAUCACUCACCUGCUUGAUUGUUGUUGUGGAGUUUCCAUGACAGCGGAGGCAGGUACUAUUUAAGACACGGCUCUAAGACCAGUGACGUGCAAACCUGUUGAAGCGCGAAGUAUCGCUAGAAACGGACCGUAGUUUGUAGAAGCACACCUGUAUGAUCGUCUCCGCACUGAUGUAUGGACCCGUGAAAUAAAGGACACAUUUUGCAGCAUUGGAAGACGACAGCAUGAAUGCAAGCAGCACAUACAUGUAAACAUAUGUUGCUCUCUAUGAACACACCCGCUGUAUGUACCCCAUGAUUUCAUUGGAACAAAGUACCGAAGAGAAUUUAUGUGGCAGGAAUCAUCGUGUGAAUAAUUACAAAGUAGCAAGUAUUUUCAAAUAGAGCAAAUAUGAUAAAAACCCUAUUAUAGUAGGGCAUGUGUAAUGAACAGUACUUUUUAAUUUGAAAAUAGCUAUUCAUUAAAGCAAGAAUAGCAGAUUAAAAAGAGAAGCUCAAAGCUCAAGGCGAUAAAUGGGAAUACAAAAAAAAGCCUUUCUUUAUAUGGAAGCCGAAUAUAUGAAUGUGGAUCGGGGAACAUUAAAAGAGUGGUCCUAUUUAUUGUAAUUGUUUUACGCCUUUAUUCGUGGCAGCAAACAAUCAUACAAUUACUAUCAGAUCCAAAGAUUUGAAAUCAUCAAUGUGAUGAAUAAAUAAUAUUAUUGAC